GCCCCUCUGCAAUCAUGAGGCCCCACCUGGAGUACUGAGUCCAGCUCUGGGGUUCUCAGCACAAGAAAGACAUGGAUCUGUUGGAGCAAUCCAGAGGAGGCAACCAAGAUGAUUAGAGUGAUGGAGCACCUCCCCUAUGAGCAAAGGCUGAGAGAAUUGGGAUUGUUCAGCCUGGAGAAGAGAAGGCUUUGGAGUGACCUACCUGUGGCCUUCCAAUACCUGGAUGGAGCCUACAAGAACGAUGGAGAAGGACUUUUUACAACAGCCUGUAGUGACAGGAUAAGGUGGAAUAGAUUCAAACUGAAAGGCAGUAGGUUCAGUUUAGAUAGUAGGAGGAAGAUCUUUGCUUUGUGAGAGUGGUGAGGCACUGGCAC